UACGGAGGAUCCGAGCGUUAUCCGGAUUUAUUGGGUUUAAAGGGUGCGUAGGCGGCCUUGUAAGUCAGGGGUGAAAGACGGUAGCUCAACUAUCGCAGUGCCUUUGAUACUGCAGGGCUUGAAUGUACUUGAGGUAGGCGGAAUGUGACAAGUAGCGGUGAAAUGCAUAGAUAUGUCACAGAACACCAAUUGCGAAGGCAGCUGGCUACACAUAUAUUGACACUGAGGCACGAAAGCGUGGGGAUCAAACAGG
rnacentral:rRNA from 1 species